CCUACGGGAGGCAGCAGUGAGGAAUAUUGGUCAAUGGACGCAAGUCUGAACCAGCCAUGCCGCGUGCAGGAAGACGGCUCUAUGAGUUGUAAACUGCUUUUGUACGAGGGUAAACGCAGAUACGCGUAUCUGUCUGAAAGUAUCGUACGAAUAAGGAUCGGCUAACUCCGUGCCAGCAGCCGCGGUAAUACGGAGGAUUCAAGCGUUAUCCGGAUUUAUUGGGUUUAAAGGGUGCGUAGGCGGUCGGAUAAGUUAGUGGUGAAAUCCCGAGGCUCAACCUCGGAAUUGCCGCUGAUACUGGUCGGCUAGAGAGUAGUUGCGGUAGGCGGAAUUUAUGGUGUAGCGGUGAAAUGCUUAGAGAUCAUACAGAACACCGAUUGCGAAGGCAGCUUACCAAGCUACUUCUGACGUUGAGGCACGAAAGCGUGGGUAGCAAACAGGAUUAGAUACCCGGGUAGUC
rnacentral:rRNA from 1 species